rnacentral:rRNA from 1 species
UUGAUUGGUGCUUGCAUCAUGAUUUACAUUUGAGUGAGUGGCGAACUGGUGAGUAACACGUGGGAAACCUGCCCAGAAGCGGGGGAUAACACCUGGAAACAGAUGCUAAUACCGCAUAACAACUUGGACCGCAUGGUCCGAGCUUGAAAGAUGGCUUCGGCUAUCACUUUUGGAUGGUCCCGCGGCGUAUUAGCUAGAUGGUGGGGUAACGGCUCACCAUGGCAAUGAUACGUAGCCGACCUGAGAGGGUAAUCGGCCACAUUGGGACUGAGACACGGCCCAAACUCCUACGGGAGGCAGCAGUAGGGAAUCUUCCACAAUGGACGAAAGUCUGAUGGAGCAACGCCGCGUGAGUGAAGAAGGGUUUCGGCUCGUAAAACUCUGUUGUUAAAGAAGAACAUAUCUGAGAGUAACUGUUCAGGUAUUGACGGUAUUUAACCAGAAAGCCACGGCUAACUACGUGCCAGCAGCCGCGGUAAUACGUAGGUGGCAAGCGUUGUCCGGAUUUAUUGGGCGUAAAGCGAGCGCAGGCGGUUUUUUAAGUCUGAUGUGAAAGCCUUCGGCUCAACCGAAGAAGUGCAUCGGAAACUGGGAAACUUGAGUGCAGAAGAGGACAGUGGAACUCCAUGUGUAGCGGUGAAAUGCGUAGAUAUAUGGAAGAACACCAGUGGCGAAGGCGGCUGUCUGGUCUGUAACUGACGCUGAGGCUCGAAAGUAUGGGUAGCAAACAGGAUUAGAUACCCUGGUAGUCCAUACCGUAAACGAUGAAUGCUAAGUGUUGGAGGGUUUCCGCCCUUCAGUGCUGCAGCUAACGCAUUAAGCAUUCCGCCUGGGGAGUACGGCCGCAAGGCUGAAACUCAAAGGAAUUGACGGGGGCCCGCACAAGCGGUGGAGCAUGUGGUUUAAUUCGAAGCUACGCGAAGAACCUUACCAGGUCUUGACAUACUAUGCAAAUCUAAGAGAUUAGACGUUCCCUUCGGGGACAUGGAUACAGGUGGUGCAUGGUUGUCGUCAGCUCGUGUCGUGAGAUGUUGGGUUAAGUCCCGCAACGAGCGCAACCCUUAUUAUCAGUUGCCAGCAUUAAGUUGGGCACUCUGGUGAGACUGCCGGUGACAAACCGGAGGAAGGUGGGGAUGACGUCAAAUCAUCAUGCCCCUUAUGACCUGGGCUACACACGUGCUACAAUGGAUGGUACAACGAGUUGCGAACUCGCGAGAGUAAGCUAAUCUCUUAAAGCCAUUCUCAGUUCGGAUUGUAGGCUGCAACUCGCCUACAUGAAGUCGGAAUCGCUAGUAAUCGCGGAUCAGCAUGCCGCGGUGAAUACGUUCCCGGGCCUUGUACACACCGCCCGUCACACCAUGAGAGUUUGUAACACCCAAAGUCGGUGGGGUAACCUUUUAGGAACCAGCCGCCUAAGGUGGGACAGAUGAUUAGGGUGAAGU